rnacentral:rRNA from 1 species
CGCGGCCUAUCAGCUUGUUGGAGAGGUAACGGCUCACCAAGGCAUCGACGGGUAGCUGGUCUGAGAGGAUGAUCAGCCACACUGGGACUGAGACACGGCCCAGACUCCUACGGGAGGCAGCAGUAAGGAAUCUUGCACAAUGGGCGAAAGCCUGAUGCAGCAACGCCGCGUGCGGGAAGACGGCCCUAGGGUUGUAAACCGCUUUCAGCAGGGAAGAAACUAACGGUACCUGCAGAAGGAGGUGCGGCCAACUACGUGCCAGCAGCCGCGGUGACACGUAGGCACCAAGCGUUAUCCGGAUUUAUUGGGCGUAAAGAGCUCGUAGGCGGUUCGGUAAGUCGGGUGUGAAAACUCUGGGCUCAACCCAGAGAGGCCACUCGAUACUGCUGUGACUAGAGUGCGGUAGGGGAGCGGGGAAUUUCUGGUGUAGCGGUGAAAUGCGCAGAUAUCAGAAGGAACACCAGUGGCGAAGGCGCCGCUCUGGGCCGUAACUGACGCUGAGGAGCGAAAGCAUGGGUAGCAAACAGGAUUAGAUACCCUGGUAGUCCAUGCCGUAAACGUUGGGCACUAGGUGUGGGUCUCAACCAACGAGAUCCGCGCCGUCGCUAACGCAUUAAGUGCCCCGCCUGGGGAGUACGG